UACGUAGGGUGCAAGCGUUAAUCGGAAUUACUGGGCGUAAAGCGUGCGCAGGCGGUUAUGUAAGACAGGUGUGAGAUCCCCCGGGCUUAACCUGGGAACUGCAUUUGUGACUGCAUAGCUAGAGUACGGUAGAGGGGGGAUGGAAUUCCGCGUGUAGCAGUGAAAUGCGUAGAUAUGCGGAGGAACACCGAUGGCGAAGGCAAUCCCCCUGGACCUGUACUGACGCUGAGGCACGAAGGCCAGGGGAGCAAACGGG
rnacentral:rRNA from 1 species